rnacentral:lncRNA from 1 species
CUCUCUAUCGGCUGCUGCGCGAAAUAAUUCUACCGUGGAACCACGGUUUAAUUUAAUGCACUUUAUUAUUUUUAAUUGAUCAUUAUUUACUUAAUGUAUAUUUUUAGGUACAUUAUUACUUUCAACUUGCUCAACAACAUCACGCUAAUUUACAACAAAACAAUACUUCUCCCACCACCACUCCAAGUACAACCCAAUCUCAAGGAACGAUACAAAUAGUUCAACCUCAACAAGUACAAACAGUCCAAGUAAAUACAAUUGAACAGCCUCCUCCCACAUCAGCGCCUCAAAAUAAUACACCUACAACCCAAUCACCAGUUAUUCUACAACAGGGACAAACGAUACCUCAAAA